rnacentral:rRNA from 1 species
UCGAACGAUGAAGCCCUUCGGGGUGGAUUAGUGGCGAACGGGUGAGUAACACGUGGGCAAUCUGCCCUUCACUCUGGGACAAGCCCUGGAAACGGGGUCUAAUACCGGAUAACACCGGCUUCCGCAUGGNAGCUGGUUAAAAGCUCCGGCGGUGAAGGAUGAGCCCGCGGCCUAUCAGCUUGUUGGUGGGGUAAUGGCCUACCAAGGCGACGACGGGUAGCCGGCCUGAGAGGGCGACCGGCCACACUGGGACUGAGACACGGCCCAGACUCCUACGGGAGGCAGCAGUGGGGAAUAUUGCACAAUGGGCGAAAGCCUGAUGCAGCGACGCCGCGUGAGGGAUGACGGCCUUCGGGUUGUAAACCUCUUUCAGCAGGGAAGAAGCGAAAGUGACGGUACCUGCAGAAGAAGCGCCGGCUAACUACGUGCCAGCAGCCGCGGUAAUACGUAGGGCGCAAGCGUUGUCCGGAAUUAUUGGGCGUAAAGAGCUCGUAGGCGGCUUGUCACGUCGGGUGUGAAAGCCCGGGGCUUAACCCCGGGUCUGCAUCCGAUACGGGCAGGCUAGAGUGUGGUAGGGGAGAUCGGAAUUCCUGGUGUAGCGGUGAAAUGCGCAGAUAUCAGGAGGAACACCGGUGGCGAAGGCGGAUCUCUGGGCCAUUACUGACGCUGAGGAGCGAAAGCGUGGGGAGCGAACAGGAU